rnacentral:rRNA from 1 species
CAGCACCUCAAGUGGUCAGGAUGAUUAUUGGGCCUAAAGCAUCCGUAGCCGGUUCUACAAGUCUUCCGUUAAAUCCACCUGCUCAACAGAUGGGCCGCGGAGGAUACUAUAAGACUAGGAGGCAGGAGAGGCAAGCGGUACUCAGUGGGUAGGGGUAAAAUCCGUUGAUCCAUUGAAGACCACCAGUGGCGAAGGCGGCUUGCCAGAAUGCGCUCGACGGUGAGGGAUGAAAGCUGGGGGAGCAAACCGGAUUAGAUACCCGAGUAGUCC